GGGGGUAUAGUUAAUUAUAACAUCUGGUUUGCAUUUAGAAAGUAUUGAAAUUUACUCAAUUUCCCUCA
rnacentral:tRNA from 2 species